rfam:Schistosoma rodhaini strain Burundi genome assembly, scaffold: SROB_scaffold0001146
AUCCAGCUGAUGAGUCCCGAAUAGGACGAAACGCGCGUCCUGGAU